rnacentral:tRNA from 1 species
AGGCCUGUAGCUCGAACUGGCUAGAGCGGCGGUCUCCAAAACCGCAUGUUGCAGGUUCGAAUCCUGCCAGGCCUGCCA